GCGAACCGACCGCUCGGGGUAGCCCAGUUGCCUCUUCCCACGCCCGGCUCCUGCGCGGACCAAAACAAGAAAAAAAGGGCAGGGGCAGGCCCGGGAGCGCACGGCGCCGCGCAAGGGGCGGAGCUUUCGCUCGCAGCCCCAGCCGGUUGGGUUACCGGGUGUGGGAGGAGGCUGAGCGGCUUCCGAGUCUCCCGCGGUGGCGGGCCCGGACUUCCCCUUUCUCCCGACUGUAGAGCGGAGGCAUGGAGAUGGGCUAGCGGCCGGCGCGAGGCCGAGCGGGUAAUGUUCUAUUGGGGCCAGAGUUGUAUAUAUGAAUGCAUAACCUCACUCAUUCGUAAAAAGCCCAGGAAUCUCAGCUGAGAAGAUUGCUUCUCUGUAGAUCAUUUGCCCAGGUAAUUUUUCUUAAAACAAAUAUUUAAGACAUUUCUCAGCCACUUAAUGUAUGCAAGACACUGGUGUUAAAAAGAUAUAUCCUUGCCCUAACAGAUUCAAAUUUGCUGAUGGUAGGGCAGGUGGAUGGUAGAAGUGGGAGACGUAUAUGUACACAGUUCAGACCAACAUGCUAAGUGCAGUGUUGGAACAAGUACAGGAUCCUGUGGAGAUAGGGAAGCAGAUCAUCAAAUACAGAAAAGGAGAGGAUGGGUCAGACAAGCCUCCCAGACCUGACCCUGGAGGAAUGGCUCG
rnacentral:lncRNA from 1 species